AACAAAAUCACAUGAGGAAUCUUGUUAAAAUGCAGAUUCUGAUAGGAGGUCUGGAUUGGUAAUUGAGAUUUUGCAUUUCUGACAAGGUCCCAGGUAAGGCAUUG
rnacentral:miRNA from 1 species